GGGCGAUUAGCUCAGCUGGGAGAGCACCUGCCUUACAAGCAGGGGGUCGGCAGUUCAAACCUGUCAUCGCCCACCA
rnacentral:tRNA from 1 species